rnacentral:rRNA from 1 species
AGCAGCCGCGGUAAUUCCAGCUCCAAUAGCGUAUAUUAAAGUUGUUGCAGUUAAAAAGCUCGUAGUUGAAUUUCGGGGUCAGUAGGUCGGUCGUGCCACAGGUAUGCACUGGUCUCACUGAUUCCUCCUUCCUGAUGAACCGUAAUGCCAUUAAUUUGGUGUUGCGGGGAGACUGGACUGUUACUUUGAAAAAAUUAGAGUGUUUAAAGCAGGCUAACGCUUGAAUACAUUAGCAUGGAAUAACGGAACAGGACGUUCGAUCUUAUUUUGUUGGUUUCUAAGAUUGACGUAAUGAUUAAUAGGGAUAGUUGGGGGCAUUAGUAUUCAAUUGUCAGAGAUGAAAUUCUUGGAUUUAUUGAAGACUAACUACUGCGAAAGCAUUUGCCAAGGAUGUUUUCAUUAAUCAAGAACGAAAGUUAGGGGAUCGAAGACGAUCAGAUACCGUCCUAGUCUCAACCAUAAACGAUGCCGACCAGGGAUCGGCGGAUGUGUCUUUAGGACUCCGCCGCACCUUAGUACG